rnacentral:rRNA from 1 species
AGUGAACGCUGGCGGUAGGCCUAACACAUGCAAGUCGAACGGCAGCACAGUAAGAGCUUGCUCUUACGGGUGGCGAGUGGCGGACGGGUGAGGAAUACAUCGGAAUCUACUUUUUCGUGGGGGAUAACGUAGGGAAACUUACGCUAAUACCGCAUACGACCUACGGGUGAAAGCAGGGGAUCCUCGGACCUUGCGCGAUUGAAUGAGCCGAUGUCGGAUUAGCUAGUUGGCGGGGUAAAGGCCCACCAAGGCGACGAUCCGUAGCUGGUCUGAGAGGAUGAUCAGCCACACUGGAACUGAGACACGGUCCAGACUCCUACGGGAGGCAGCAGUGGGGAAUAUUGGACAAUGGGCGCAAGCCUGAUCCAGCCAUACCGCGUGGGUGAAGAAGGCCUUCGGGUUGUAAAGCCCUUUUGUUGGGAAAGAAGAGCAGCAGGUUAAUACCCCGCUGUUCUGACGGUACCCAAAGAAUAAGCACCGGCUAACUUCGUG